rnacentral:lncRNA from 1 species
GUUGGAGGGUACGGUCAGAGAGGAUGAAGUCAUGGUGCCAGGAGCCUGAGGCAGCUGCUUGCAUUGUAUCCGCAGUGAGGAAGCCGAGAGAGAUGAACCCGAUGAGCAGUUCUAAGCCAGGCUCUUGGAGAGCUAAAUCCAACGAGCGAGUGUUGGCAGAGCCAUGCUCCCUCUGGAGUGCCUCGAGGACAGUCUGCUUCUAUACCCUUCUCCAGUUCCUUGGGCUGUGUUCCUUGGCCUGUGGCCUUACCUCCACCUUCCAACCCGGCACUGUAGCACCUCCCUUAUUAAAAAGAAAUUAGUAAAAAUGUUA